AUUCGCCCUUUAAUCUCUUAGCAUUGGCUACAGCGCUUAAACUCAGCUAGCUAAUAACAACAAACACAGCAGCCGAGACUUGAGGCUGGAGCUGUCGCCAAACGCUAACUCUGUAUCCAGGGCUAAAAUGGCCUCUCUAGGAGAAUCUGUUCGUCUGGAAAGAGACAUUUCUCGUGCCAUUGAGCUGCUGGACAAACUCCAGAGGACAGGGGAAGUGCCUCCCCAGAAGCUGCAGGCGCUGCAGAGGGUUUUACAGAGUGAGUUCUGUAAUGCCGUCCGCGAGGUAUAUGAGCAUGUGUACGAGACCGUGGACAUAAAUAGCAGCCCAGAAGUGAGGGCAAAUGCAACAGCAAAGGCUACAGUUGCUGCAUUUGCAGCCAGUGAGGGUCAUUCUCACCCACGUGUGGUAGAGCUCCCUAAAACAGAGGAAGGACUGGGGUUCAACAUCAUGGGUGGGAAGGAACAAAACUCGCCCAUCUACAUCUCCCGCAUCAUUCCUGGAGGCAUCGCAGAUCGGCACGGUGGCCUGAAGAGAGGAGACCAGCUGCUGUCCGUUAAUGGAGUGAGUGUAGAAGGAGAGCACCAUGAGAAAGCUGUGGAGCUGCUGAAGGCUGCUCAGGGUACAGUGAAGCUGGUGGUACGGUACACCCCUAAGGUCCUGGAAGAGAUGGAGUCGCGCUUUGAGAAGCUGAGGUCUGCCAAACGCCGGCAACAGAACAACUUCCCCCAGUAGGCCAUCUUGCCUGAGCCCUCUGCCCCUCCCAUCUCUCUCUCUCUCUCUCUCUCUGUCUUUAAUUCUUCUGCCAUCUGUCUUCCUCGUUCACACUCACUCACCCUCUUUCUCCAGCCAGGGAUUAGCCACAUGUUUGGCACUCCUUUUUGUGAAAAUUUUCUAAAUCCUCACCUCCUCAACGGUUUUUUAACAGUCUUUUCACACACUUCUUUCUCAUAGCAUGAACACUACUACAUUGGCUCUGGAUGUUGUCAUGUAGACAUCUCACACACACAUGUACACCUGGUGCAUUACAAUGAAUGUACUGUCAUUUGGGAUGUUGAUUAGUUAGAUAUGCAAGGGGACCAUUGCAAUGUUCAACUCCUGAGGUCGUCUGAAUGAAAAUGUCAAAAAAGUGCCUCAAGAGAUUUACAAAAAAAAAAAAAAGGUCUGCAGCCUCCACUAUGUCACAACGUAGGCUGUGUUUUAUGGUCUAAGCACAAAAUGAGUGAACACUACCACCUUGUUAAAAUGCUAAAUGACUGUAAGUUUCAUAAUCUCAGUAACAGUAUACCAUGAAGGUUUUAUGAUGUAUUAUCAUGUGCUAUUCUCACUGUUUGCCCACAGAAAAAGGAAAAGUCUACCAGAGAAAAAUAAAAAAACGAUCUAAUUUUGAGUCUCUAGAGAGAUAAAUGGCAGAGCGGUGACACAAGUAUCCCAUCAGUACUGCUGUUUUUUUUCUGUUCAGCAGAAAAUAUACUCCUGUACCAAAAUAAUGGCACACUAAUAUCGCUUGAAACGAUCGUCAAACUGAUUGACUCUUCACAUAAUGUUUACAGUACAAACUGACUUUUUUUUUUCUCUCUUUCGUGAAUCUGUGGGGGAAAAAAAUUCUGUGAAAAUCUACAUUAACUGGCAAAUCAGUUCAAUAUCAACUUUUAUCAACAAGAUUAUUGAACUGUUUGGGUUUGUUUAGACUCUUUUAGAGCCACAAAACAUUUUACAUACACUCCUGAUUACUCCAUUUAAACAUUCAGCUUUUGAUGGAAAAUAUGUGAAUGGAGUGUUUAUGAAUCGUUCACCCAAACAUCAGUUCAGAGGAGAUGCUUGUGGCACUGUUUGGGUGUUAGAUAAAUAGAAAAUGAAUAGAAAAUAAAACACUUUUUUUAGCGUAUGCCCCUUAAAGCACACAAUGAAGCAGUCACCUAGCUCUUAUUCAGGCUUGCAUUCCAGGUGUUGUUUGUGGAAAUUAAAAAUGUAAUUUCAAUCCUCACAGCAGAAACACUAAGUUUAAAACCAUAGGGGGAAUUUAAUUGUUUUAUGGCUGUUGUAUCGUCUGUCGUUUCCUAACACUUUCUGAAUGUUAAUGUGGCACUUGGCUUUCAGUCAGCUGUGGGUCCAUAUGUUUCACCCAGUUCAAGCUGAUCAUUACAAAGAUCUGCAUCAUGUUUCAGAAGCCGUUCACUUAAAUGCUUAUAUUAGCAUUUCACGAGGUAGCAACUGAGCAUAAUGCUAGCAAAACAGCAAUGAAUGCAUAAACGAAUGUUUAAGAAUACCGUCUUUAUUCACCAUUCAUUAUAUGAGACCUGUCUUAACGAAGCUCAAGAGAAAUUAUUAAUUGGUGCUGUCAUUUUCAUUUUUUCAUUCAUUUAUUUAUUUUUUUUCUUCUGAAAGUCAGGAAUUAAUUCACACAUAGCAAUGUCUGCAGGGAAAGCGAUGCACAUCUCGAGCUGAGAUUUUAUCAGAUCUUCUCCAGAUAUUUUACUGGCUAAAAAUGCAGUCCCGUUACAUUCAUUACUUUAGAUUCAACAUCUACUUGAUGUUACAGCCAAAUUUUAAGGACUUAUUUGAUAUUUUUUUUUAUUGCUAUAUAUAUUUUUAAUCCUGAUUUGUCAAGAUUCAUAUUAUAAAAGUAGUUUUCACACUGUACUUUGAACCUCUUUGUACUCCUUUUCACAUGUUAAAAAAAUGCAACACGCUUUAUGUAUUUUUAACCUCAAGUGCAGGUAUUUUCAGUAUCUGACAAACUUGGAAAAAAAACAAUCUAUUUUUCUCAGUCUCUCAUAAAAUAUUGAACGUGUCUAAUUCUAGAGGCCCAUGACUCACCCUGAGCUGUGAGAUACGUAGGUGUUUUGGGGGUGAGAGAUAAAAGGGAGGUCUGAUGUCUUGCAUUGAGGAAUCAUUUGUGUUAUUGACUAAAAAGUAUAAUCAAGCGAUUUUCUUUUCUUUCUGUGGUGUGUAAGGUGCUCAGGUUGGCUCUGGCAACAAUAUCAUGAAUUUGGAAGCAUCAUGAAUCACAAGAGCAAUAAUGAGACAUGAUCCGUUCAUCAUCAUCUCAGACAGGUUACUCACUCCCCAUUCAUACUUGGAUUUGUCCACGGGGGGCUGACUAAAUAUUUUUAUAACCUUUUUCUUUUGAUAUUUAACCCCUUUUGAUAAAGUGUUUUUUUUUUUUUUUAAGAAAGCUUUGUAUUGAUUUACCCUGACCACAUUCUCCCUGUAAUCCAGGUAACAAGACCAAAUUUGCAUCCAUUCUGGGAGCUGUUUCAGUGUCUGGUCAGCUAGUUUGGAUUGUUUUUUUUUUUUUUUUUUUAAAAACUGUUAGUUUGUUGUAUUUGUUUGACAUUUCUGUAUUGUCCUGCUGUAUUGUGUUUACAUUAAUGGGGAUGUAUAAAGACUGAUCAAAGUGAUAUGUUUUGAGGAUACAGAGUUUAAAUAUACUGUGGGUAUAAA